rnacentral:rRNA from 1 species
AGCUCCAAUAGCGUAUAUUAAAGUUGUUGCAGUUAAAAAGCUCGUAGUUGGAUAUCUGGUGGGAGCAAUGGGUCUCGCGCUUAGCGCGGGUACUUCAAUUGACUCCGGCCAUCCUUGGGGAGAGCCCGUCUGGCAUUAGGUUGUCGGGCGGGGGAUCCCCAUCGUUUACUGUGAAAAAAUUAGAGUGUUCAAAGCAGGCUUAUGCCGCUGAAUAUAUUAGCAUGGAAUAAUAAGAUAGGACUUUGGUACUAUUUUGUUGGUUUGUGUACCUAAGUAAUGAUUAAUAGGAACAGUCGGGGGUAUUCAUAUUCCGUUGUCAGAGGUGAAAUUCUUGGAUUUACGGAAGAUGAACUACUGCGAAAGCAUUUACCAAGGAUGUUUUCAUUAAUCAAGAACGAAA